rnacentral:rRNA from 1 species
CCUACGGGGGGCUGCAGUGGGGAAUAUUGGACAAUGGGGGGAACCCUGAUCCAGCCAUGCCGCGUGUGUGAAGAAGGCCCUCGGGUUGUAAAGCACUUUCAGUGAGGAAGAACGCCUGGUGGUUAAUACCCAUCAGGAAAGACAUCACUCACAGAAGAAGCACCGGCUAACUCCGUGCCAGCAGCCGCGGUAAUACGGAGGGUGCGAGCGUUAAUCGGAAUUACUGGGCGUAAAGCGCGCGUAGGUGGCUUGAUAAGCCGGUUGUGAAAGCCCCGGGCUCAACCUGGGAACGGCAUCCGGAACUGUCAAGUAGGGGGGAAGGAGGGGAAGUAGAAUUCCCGGUGUAGCGGUGAAAUGCGUAGAGAUCGGGAGGAAUACCAGUGGCGAAGGCGGCCUUCUGGACUGACACUGACACUGAGGUGCGAAAGCGUGGGUAGCAAACAGGAUUAGAUACCCGGGUAGUC